rnacentral:rRNA from 1 species
AACGAACGCUGGCGGCAGGCCUCAAACAUGCAAGUCUAGGGGGUGCAGCAAUGCAUCACCGGCGGACGGGUGCGUAACGCGUGGGAAUAUACCUUUUGGUUCGGAACAACUGCGGGAAACUGCAGCUAAUACCGAAUGUGCCCUAACGGGGAAAGAUUUAUCGCCAAAGGAUUAGCCCGCGUAGGAUUAGCUAGUUGGUGAGGUAAUGGCUCACCAAGGCUCCGAUCCUUAGCUGCUGAGAGGAAGAUCAGCCACACUGGGACUGAGACACGGCCCAGACUCCUACGGGAGGCAGCAGUUGGGAAUCUUGGACAAUGGGGGAAACCCUGAUCCAGCCAUGCCGCGUGAGUGAUGAAGGCCUUGGUU